rnacentral:rRNA from 1 species
GGCUCAUGAUGAACGCUAGCUACAGGCUUAACACAUGCAAGUCGAGGGGCAGCAUCAUCAAAGCUUGCUUUGAUGGAUGGCGACCGGCGCACGGGUGAGUAACACGUAUCCAACCUGCCGACAACACUGGGAUAGCCUUUCGAAAGAAAGAUUAAUACCGGAUGGCAUAGUUUUCCCGCAUGGGAUAAUUAUUAAAGAAUUUCGGUUGUCGAUGGGGAUGCGUUCCAUUAGGCAGUUGGCGGGGUAACGGCCCACCAAACCGACGAUGGAUAGGGGUUCUGAGAGGAAGGUCCCCCACAUUGGAACUGAGACACGGUCCAAACUCCUACGGGAGGCAGCAGUGAGGAAUAUUGGUCAAUGGACGAGAGUCUGAACCAGCCAAGUAGCGUGAAGGAUGACUGCCCUAUGGGUUGUAAACUUCUUUUAUACGGGAAUAAAGUUAGCCACGUGUGGCUUUUUGUAUGUACCGUAUGAAUAAGGAUCGGCUAACUCCGUGCCAGCAGCCGCGGUAAUACGGAGGAUCCGAGCGUUAUCCGGAUUUAUUGGGUUUAAAGGGAGCGUAGGCGGGUUGUUAAGUCAGUUGUGAAAGUUUGCGGCUCAACCGUAAAAUUGCAGUUGAUACUGGCGACCUUGAGUGCAACAGAGGUAGGCGGAAUUCGUGGUGUAGCGGUGAAAUGCUUAGAUAUCACGAAGAACUCCGAUUGCGAAGGCAGCUUACUGGAUUGUAACUGACGCUGAUGCUCGAAAGUGUGGGUAUCAAACAGGAUUAGAUACCCUGGUAGUCCACACAGUAAACGAUGAAUACUCGCUGUUGGCGAUAUACAGUCAGCGGCCAAGCGAAAGCAUUAAGUAUUCCACCUGGGGAGUACGCCGGCAACGGUGAAACUCAAAGGAAUUGACGGGGGCCCGCACAAGCGGAGGAACAUGUGGUUUAAUUCGAUGAUACGCGAGGAACCUUACCCGGGCUUAAAUUGCAACUGACUGAACCGGAAACGGUUCUUUCUUCGGACAGUUGUGAAGGUGCUGCAUGGUUGUCGUCAGCUCGUGCCGUGAGGUGUCGGCUUAAGUGCCAUAACGAGCGCAACCCUUAUCGAUAGUUACUAGCAGGUCAUGCUGAGGACUCUAUUGAGACUGCCGUCGUAAGAUGUGAGGAAGGUGGGGAUGACGUCAAAUCAGCACGGCCCUUACGUCCGGGGCUACACACGUGUUACAAUGGGGGGUACAGAAGGCAGCUACACGGCGACGUGGUGCUAAUCCCGAAAGCCUCUCUCAGUUCGGAUUGGAGUCUGCAACCCGACUCCAUGAAGCUGGAUUCGCUAGUAAUCGCGCAUCAGCCACGGCGCGGUGAAUACGUUCCCGGGCCUUGUACACACCGCCCGUCAAGCCAUGAAAGCCGGGGGUACCUGAAGUACGUAACCGCAAGGAGCGUCCUAGGGUA